UUUUAACGUCUUUUAAAUAAAUAUAUGUUUUAAGGAUAUUUGCCUUUAUUGACAGGACAGCUCAGGAUAGACAGGAAAGGGGGAGAGAAAGAGAGGAGAUGACAUGCAGCAAACAGCCACAGGUUGGACUCAAACCCCAGCUCUACCAGGGGAGCUACAAGGACGCUGCUGCAAAGGUGUUUAAAGACACAUAUAAUUGAAUUGACACUGCUAAAGUGUGAAACCGGUGAAAUGCAUCGUUUCCUGACUAAAAUGACUGAGUUUGAAUAUUGUUGGAAACAUUUGGGAUAAUGGAAGUACACAACUCAACAUAAUAUAUAACAUAGGUUGCACAUCAAUGAGCCACACUAGUUUAUUUUGACUCAAUCACACAUACACUGUCCUGCUGUACAAAUACUCACAAAAAAUAGUCCCCAAUGAGUGCAUUACAAAUUUCUUCCCCUUUGAGUUCAAAGAGCUGCAUUUCCUGUUUGUAUCAUUAUUUCCUUGUUUGGGUUAUUUUUUCCAUACUGUAUAAUUCAUUUUCUUUUGUCGAUCACAGUUCUGUAUCAGUUACUGUUCAGUAAAUGAAUGAAUCUGUUGAGGAGCAGGUCUUCUAAUGUUUGCAGACAAUAAAACACCUCUGGCAGGUUCAGUUUCUAAACAGUUGACAGAAUAUUUUGUAUCUAUGCUAGCAUUGUUCAAAUAAAAACAACGGUACAUUAGAAUUGCACCAACUUACCAAGAGAAGGCUACAUUAACUAAAUAUAGAUGACAAGCCAUUGCACUGAUGUUCACUGUCGUAUAUGUUUCUGUGGAAUACCUUAAAAUGUGAGAAACGUGAAGAAACUGUUCACAAAAGACUGAAGGAAAUAUUAACUUGAAACUGUUGCUGCCUUUUUACACAUUUGUUCAUUAAGUUAUUGUGUAAUGUCAUUGUCUGAAGAAAAUCCUACUGUAUUUGUAAUAAAGGUUUGGGACUGGAUGACAAAUACGUUUCAAGCUGUGCUUUUUCAAAUAAAUACAAUUUCAUUUGACAGACA
rnacentral:lncRNA from 15 species